UACGAGGGGGGCAAAUGUUGUUCGGAAUCACUGGGCGUAAAGGGAGCGUAGGCGGGUUUCUAAGUCAGGUGUUUAAUCCCGGGGCCCAACCCCGGACAGGCACUUGAAACUGGGAAUCUUGAAUAGUGGAGAGGUCAGUGGAAUUGGGGGUGUAGCGGUGGAAUGCGUAGAGAUCUCCAAGAACACCCGUUGCGAAGGCGGCCGACUGGACACAUAUUGACGCUGAGGCUCGAAAGCAUGGGGGAGCAAACAGG
rnacentral:rRNA from 1 species